GGUUAAGCGACUAAGCGUACACGGUGGAUGCCCUGGCAGUCAGAGGCGAUGAAGGACGUGCUAAUCUGCGAUAAGCGUCGGUAAGGUGAUAUGAACCGUUAUAACCGGCGAUUUCCGAAUGGGGAAACCCAGUGUGUUUCGACACACUAUCAUUAACUGAAUCCAUAGGUUAAUGAGGCGAACCGGGGGAACUGAAACAUCUAAGUACCCCGAGGAAAAGAAAUCAACCGAGAUUCCCCCAGUAGCGGCGAGCGAACGGGGAGCAGCCCAGAGCCUGAAUCAGUGUGUGUGUUAGUGGAAGCGUCUGGAAAGGCGCGCGAUACAGGGUGACAGCCCCGUACACAAAAAUGCACAUAUUGUGAGCUCGAUGAGUAGGGCGGGACACGUGGUAUCCUGUCUGAAUAUGGGGGGACCAUCCUCCAAGGCUAAAUACUCCUGACUGACCGAUAGUGAACCAGUACCGUGAGGGAAAGGCGAAAAGAACCCCGGCGAGGGGAGUGAAAAAGAACCUGAAACCGUGUACGUACAAGCAGUGGGAGCACAGAGCAAUCUGUGUGACUGCGUACCUUUUGUAUAAUGGGUCAGCGACUUAUAUUCUGUAGCAAGGUUAACCGAAUAGGGGAGCCGAAGGGAAACCGAGUCUUAACUGGGCGUUAAGUUGCAGGGUAUAGACCCGAAACCCGGUGAUCUAGCCAUGGGCAGGUUGAAGGUUGGGUAACACUAACUGGAGGACCGAACCGACUAAUGUUGAAAAAUUAGCGGAUGACUUGUGGCUGGGGGUGAAAGGCCAAUCAAACCGGGAGAUAGCUGGUUCUCCCCGAAAGCUAUUUAGGUAGCGCCUCGUGAAUUCAUCUCCGGGGGUAGAGCACUGUUUCGGCAAGGGGGUCAUCCCGACUUACCAACCCGAUGCAAACUGCGAAUACCGGAGAAUGUUAUCACGGGAGACACACGGCGGGUGCUAACGUCCGUCGUGAAGAGGGAAACAACCCAGACCGCCAGCUAAGGUCCCAAAGUCAUGGUUAAGUGGGAAACGAUGUGGGAAGGCCCAGACAGCCAGGAUGUUGGCUUAGAAGCAGCCAUCAUUUAAAGAAAGCGUAAUAGCUCACUGGUCGAGUCGGCCUGCGCGGAAGAUGUAACGGGGCUAAACCAUGCACCGAAGCUGCGGCAGCGACGCUUAUGCGUUGUUGGGUAGGGGAGCGUUCUGUAAGCCUGUGAAGGUGUGCUGUGAGGCAUGCUGGAGGUAUCAGAAGUGCGAAUGCUGACAUAAGUAACGAUAAAGCGGGUGAAAAGCCCGCUCGCCGGAAGACCAAGGGUUCCUGUCCAACGUUAAUCGGGGCAGGGUGAGUCGACCCCUAAGGCGAGGCCGAAAGGCGUAGUCGAUGGGAAACAGGUUAAUAUUCCUGUACUUGGUGUUACUGCGAAGGGGGGACGGAGAAGGCUAUGUUGGUCGGGCGACGGUUGUCCCGGUUUAAGCGUGUAGGCUGGUUUUCCAGGCAAAUCCGGAAAAUCAAGGCUGAGGCGUGAUGACGAGGCACUACGGUGCUGAAGCAACAAAUGCCCUGCUUCCAGGAAAAGCCUCUAAGCAUCAGGUAACAUCAAAUCGUACCCCAAACCGACACAGGUGGUCAGGUAGAGAAUACCAAGGCGCUUGAGAGAACUCGGGUGAAGGAACUAGGCAAAAUGGUGCCGUAACUUCGGGAGAAGGCACGCUGAUAUGUAGGUGAAGUCCCUCGCGGAUGGAGCUGAAAUCAGUCGAAGAUACCAGCUGGCUGCAACUGUUUAUUAAAAACACAGCACUGUGCAAACACGAAAGUGGACGUAUACGGUGUGACGCCUGCCCGGUGCCGGAAGGUUAAUUGAUGGGGUUAGCGGUAACGCGAAGCUCUUGAUCGAAGCCCCGGUAAACGGCGGUACGUAACUAUAACGGUCCUAAGGUAGCGAAAUUCCUUGUCGGGUAAGUUCCGACCUGCACGAAUGGCGUAAUGAUGGCCAGGCUGUCUCCACCCGAGACUCAGUGAAAUUGAACUCGCUGUGAAGAUGCAGUGUACCCGCGGCAAGACGGAAAGACCCCGUGAACCUUUACUAUAGCUUGACACUGAACAUUGAGCCUUGAUGUGUAGGAUAGGUGGGAGGCUUUGAAGUGUGGACGCCAGUCUGCAUGGAGCCGGCCUUGAAAUACCACCCUUUAAUGUUUGAUGUUCUAACGUUGGCCCCUGAUCGGGGUUGCGGACAGUGUCUGGUGGGUAGUUUGACUGGGGCGGUCUCCUCCUAAAGAGUAACGGAGGAGCACGAAGGUUGGCUAAUCCUGGUCGGACAUCAGGAGGUUAGUGCAAUGGCAUAAGCCAGCUUGACUGCGAGCGUGACGGCGCGAGCAGGUGCGAAAGCAGGUCAUAGUGAUCCGGUGGUUCUGAAUGGAAGGGCCAUCGCUCAACGGAUAAAAGGUACUCCGGGGAUAACAGGCUGAUACCGCCCAAGAGUUCAUAUCGACGGCGGUGUUUGGCACCUCGAUGUCGGCUCAUCACAUCCUGGGGCUGAAGUAGGUCCCAAGGGUAUGGCUGUUCGCCAUUUAAAGUGGUACGCGAGCUGGGUUUAGAACGUCGUGAGACAGUUCGGUCCCUAUCUGCCGUGGGCGCUGGAGAACUGAGGGGGGCUGCUCCUAGUACGAGAGGACCGGAGUGGACGCAUCACUGGUGUUCGGGUUGUCAUGCCAAUGGCACUGCCCGGUAGCUAAAUGCGGAAGAGAUAAGUGCUGAAAGCAUCUAAGCACGAAACUUGCCCCGAGAUGAGUUCUCCCUGACUCCUUGAGAGUCCUGAAGGAACGUUGAAGACGACGACGUUGAUAGGCCGGGUGUGUAAGCGCAGCGAUGCGUUGAGCUAACCGGUACUAAUGAACCGUGAGGCUUAACCUU
rnacentral:rRNA from 1 species